GAAUGUGUGUGUGUGUGUGUGUGUGUGAGUGUGUGUGUGUGUGAGUGUGUGUGUGUGUGUGAGUGUGUGUGUGUGUGUGUGUGUGUGUGAGUGUGUGUGUGUGUGUGUGUCUGUGUGUGUGUGAGUGUGUGUGUGUGUGUGUGUGUGUGUGUGCGUGUGUGUGUGUGUGUGCGUGAGUGUGUGUGUAGGUGUGUGUGUGUGAGUGUGUGUGUGUGUGUGUGUGUGUGUGUGUAUGUGUGUGUGUGUGUGUGUGUGUGUGCGUGUGUGUGUGUGUGUGUGUGUGUGAGUGUGUGUGUGUGUGUGUGUGUGCGUGUGUGUGUGUGUGUGUGUGAGUGUGUGUGAGUGUGUGUGUGUGUGUGUGUG
ensembl:lncRNA